AACGCGAGACGACCGAGAUAAACAUGGGAGAAAAACAAGAGAAACGAGGAGGAGGGGGGCGAGGAGGCGUGUUAUUUGGCGGCGGAAGGGAGGAAUUUUCAUCGUUAUUCCAGUCCUCGUCCUUUCGCUAUUUGUCAUCAUAGUUUUAUCUCGGUCUUUACUGCCCCCUCCUGCCUUGUGCCGUGUCGUUUCGCAAAUAAUGCAGCCCUCUCCCCUUUUUUUUACGAGUUCGCAGUAAAAAUAUACGAUUCUCCGUUGUCGAUCGAUCUUCGCAGGGCGUGCACAGGACGACGGUUACAAUAACCGUCUGUCGAGAAAUAAAUGGAAUGAAUUUAAAAAUAAUAAGAGGAUAAUAUUAAUUUAGGAUAUUUAAAUGGAACAAUUUCUCUUUCUGUAUCAAAGAAUUCUGGCAACGUGUGGAUGACAGAAAGUGUUUAAUGUAAUUAAAUAAUUAUUAUAUCGUUAAAUAUAUGGAAACGAAGAUCGAUAUGAAUUUAAGAAGAAUUUUUUUAAAAGUUCACUACUCGCCCUUUAAUAUUAGAUCUCCGCUUUAUCCAACCGAUUGUGAAGAGAAUUUAUCGUGUUUGGCUUAGUCGACUAUAAUUUAAAUUUAGUAUCGGCUGAUUUAUGAAUCUGGAGGAAAUAAACGGAGUUUGUGGCUCGAGAAAGCGUGUACGGGUCGAAUGAUUAAAAAGGCAGUUGAGGAAAAUUAAUGUAUCGUUUUGCCGCGCAUUAAAGAAGGCAGAUCGGAAGGGAAAAAGUGUUAUCGAAUAAAUUUCUUAACUCGAUUUAUUUCAUUCGUACGAAUAGGAUUUUUUGCUUCUCCAAUUAAAAAUAUUCCUCCUGAAAACCAAUUCUCCACCAACGAUGAAAACCAUCCAUCUCCUAUUUAUGAUCGUGUCUCGCGAACACGCAGAAAAACUUUGGCCACGGUAUAAAAGCUUCUGUACGAAUGACGGUGCGGUCAGUCGUAUCCGCGUAACUUCUCCAACGUUAUCUAAUCGAUUCUCCGACCAAAUGUUUCAUUAAAUCUCGAUUAUUUUUUCUCUUCUUUUUUCUUAUUAAAAAAUAUCUCGGGCAAAAUUUGAACAGUUUCGAUUCAAUUAUGCCGUAUAUAUAAUUAUUUUCUUCAUAAGUAACGACACGAAAAAGAUCAACUUUCCUUCUUUAAAUAGAAUAACGUACGUUAUUAAUUCCUUCUUUUUUCCACACGAUCGAAGAAAACAGGCUUUGCUCGCGGAUCGAUCAAUCCCUCGAUAUUCUUGUCACGAUCCCCGCCUGGCAUCCCAACCACUUUAUUACCGUCAGAGAAAGUUUUAACCGGAAAUCUUGAAUAAAUAAACGUUGAACGGAACUUCAUCCUCGUUCCCUUAUUAAAUUCUCAAUCGCUUUAUCCCUUCGUUGCCAUAAAUGAUUCUAUAUAUCGUAUUCGUGCUAUAUUAAAAAUUACAGUAACUCGAUCGUACGUGGAGAAUUCGUAACGAAGAUAAGUGCGAUCGAAAUGACUGAACGUUUUUAUCGCUUCGCAGCCAUAAAUGACUGCUACUAUUAUGCGCUACGUUCAAAAACAAGCGAUUCGAUACGAAUAUGGAGAAUUCGUUGUGCAGUAAAGGACUCGUUCAUUGCCUGGCCGCUCCAGUCGGGGCAGUUGAACGUGAAUCGACGCCAUGGAAACGAAUCUUGCGCAACGUUCCGGGUCAACAGCUCGCUUCGCCUAAAAUUGGACCUGAAGAUGAUGACUCGUCUCCUCGAUGAGGGAUGGCUGUGAGAACUCGCUAAUUGGUCGGGCUCUAAGGGAUCAUAAUUGGCGCUAAUUUUUUCGAGGUGUAAUGUCAUUUCAUUUUAUUGGAAAGAUUUGUAAGAUUUAUCGAUCUGUGCGUAUAACGUUAUUGACAAUGAUGAAAAAUGAUGAUGUUGAAUUAUUGGCAGGUAUUUGUUUAUUUUUAUAUUGGAUAGUCGGUAUAUCUAUUUUUUUUUGCACACAAGUGCAAUAAAAUAGCGUCGAGACAAAUUCAAUGACCUGCUAUGACUCGGAACAACAGGAAGUUGUAAAUUGGCCAAGUCUUCAAAUGUCAGGUUGAAUAGUGAAUUAUAUCCACUGUAGGAUAUUAUUCUAUCUACACGAAACGCGAAAUAUUUCGGUUAAAAUUUUUCCUCAUUUAUUUACUACUUCGAUACAAACUCGUGACUUUGAAUAAAUGAUAUUCAUUUGCAGUUCGAAUGUAAUGGAACGUAAUGAACGAGACAAAAAAGUUCAAAAAUAUUU
rnacentral:lncRNA from 1 species